rnacentral:sRNA from 1 species
UUUUGCAGAGUGAGCCUUCUUAAGACAAGCUGUUUUUAUCUUUCCAUAGGUAUGAAUCCUAGGACCCAGAAUAAGGAUUCUCUAGAGGACAGUGUUUCUACCUCUCCAGACCCAAUGCCAGGCUUCUGUUGCACAGUUGGAGUGGACUGGAAGUCUCUCACUACUCCGGCGUGCCUCCCCCUUACCACCGACUACUUCCCUGACCGCCAGGGCCUGCAGAAUGACUACACAGAGGGCUGUUAUGAUCUCCUUCCAGAAGCAGACAUCGACAGGAGGGACGAAGAUGGUGUGCAGAUGACAGCCCAGCAGGUGUUUGAAGAGUUUAUUUGCCAACGUCUCAUGCAGGGCUACCAAAUCAUAGUGCAGCCCAAGACACAGAAACCCAAUCCCGCCGUCCCGCCCCCGCUGAGCAGUAGCCCACUCUAUAGCCGAGGCCUUGUGUCCCGAAACCGCCCCGAGGAGGAGGACCAGUAUUGGCUGAGUAUGGGCAGAACGUUCCACAAAGUGACGCUGAAGGAUAAGAUGAUCACAGUGACGCGAUACCUUCCCAAGUAUCCUUAUGAAUCUGC